AUUCUACUCCCUCCGUCUCUAAAUUCUUGUCUCGGAUUAGUCUAAAUACGAAUGUAUCUAGUCACGCUUUAGUAUUUAGAUACAUCUAUUUUUAGAUAAACCUAAGACAAUAAUUUUAGGACGAAGGGAGUACAAC
rfam:Hordeum vulgare subsp. vulgare, WGS project CAJW01000000 data, contig: morex_contig_1576310